rnacentral:rRNA from 1 species
GCGUAAAGAGCUCGUAGGUGGUUUGCCGCGUUGUUCGUGAAAUCUCACGGCUUAACUGUGAGCGUGCGGGCGAUACGGGCAGACUUGAGUACUGCAGGGGAGACUGGAAUUCCUGGUGUAGCGGUGGAAUGCGCAGAUAUCAGGAGGAACACCGGUGGCGAAGGCGGGUCUCUGGGCAGUAACUGACGCUGAGGAGCGAAAGCGUGGGGAGCGAACAGGAUUAGAUACCCUGGUAGUCCACGCCGUAAACGGUGGGUACUAGGUGUGGGUUUCCUUCCUUGGGAUCCGUGCCGUAGCUAACGCAUUAAGUACCCCGCCUGGGGAGUACGGCCGCAAGGCUAAAACUCAAAGAAAUUGACGGGGGCCCGCACAAGCGGCGGAGCAUGUGGAUUAAUUCGAUGCAACGCGAAGAACCUUACCUGGGUUUGACAUGCACAGGACGCCGGCAGAGAUGUCGGUUCCCUUGUGGCCUGUGUGCAGGUGGUGCAUGGCUGUCGUCAGCUCGUGUCGUGAGAUGUUGGGUUAAGUCCCGCAACGAGCGCAACCCUUGUCUCAUGUUGCCAGCGGGUAAUGCCGGGGACUCGUGAGAGACUGCCGGGGUCAACUCGGAGGAAGGUGGGGAUGACGUCAAGUCAUCAUGCCCCUUAUGUCCAGGGCUUCACACAUGCUACAAUGGCCGGUACAAAGGGCUGCGAUGCCGCGAGGUUAAGCGAAUCCUUUUAAAGCCGGUCUCAGUUCGGAUCGGGGUCUGCAACUCGACCCCGUGAAGUCGGAGUCG